rnacentral:tRNA from 1 species
GGGAAGGUAGCUCAGUGGUAGAGUGCUUGCCUUGCAUGCAUGAGACCCUGGGUUCGAUUCCUCAGCACCA